rnacentral:lncRNA from 1 species
AUCUCUCUCCCUCCCUCUAUCUCUCUCCCUCCAUCUUUCAGUCCUCCGUUUUCUCCUUCUCUCAAUAUCCCUCUAUUCAUCUUUCCAUCUCCUUCUGUCUAUCUUUCAAAAUCCUUCUAUACAAACCUAUACUUUCUCUUCAUUUUCAACCCUUGUCCAUCCCUCCAUGUCCCUCUCUCCAUCCCUCUCUCUACCUCCACCCCCCUCUCUACCUCCAUCCCUCCAUCCCUCUCUCUACCUCCAUCCCCCUCUCUACCUCCAUCCCUCUUUUUACCUACAUCCCUCCAUCCCUCUCUCUACCUCCAUCCCUCCAUAUCCCUCUCUCCAUCCCUCUCUCUACCUCCAUCCCUCCAUGUCACUCUCUUCAUCCCUCUCUCUACCUCCAUCCCUCUAUUCAUCCCUCUCUCCAUCUCCCAGAGUCCCCCUCUCCAUGCCUCAGUCCAGCCUCCUGUCCUCCUCUCUCUCUCUCGCCAUUUCCAUGCCUCUUUCACUCCUCUCCAUCCCUCAGUCUCACUAUCUGUGUCCCCCUCCCUCCAUCUCUGUUCUUUUUUCACUCUCUCUCUUUCUAUCCUUCUCUCCCUCUCUCCUUCACUGUCUCUCUCCUUCUCUCUCCCUCUCUCCUUCUCUGUCUCUCUUCCCUCUUUAUUGCAUCUCUCCCUUUCUCUCCCCACCCCUCCCUCUCUUCCCUCUCUCCGUCCCUCUCUCCCCACCCCUCCGUCUCCUCCCUCUCUUUUUUCACUAUCUCUCUCUCCUUCUCUCCCUCUCUCCUUCUCUCUCUCUUCCCUCUUUAUUGCAUCUCUCCCUUUCUCUCUCCACCCCUCCCUCUCUUCCCUCUCUUUUUUCACUAUCUCUCACUCCCUCUCUCCUUCUCUGUCUCUCUUCCCUCUCCCCAUCCCUCUCUCUCCAUCCCUCCCUCUCUUCCCUCUCUUUUUUCACUAUCUCUCGCUCCCUCUCUCUGUCCAUCUGCCCUGUGUGGAUGAUCACUAAGGAGCUCAGAAUGGUCGGCUCCCCAAGUGUUGCAGUGAGAGGUUCAGCUGGCGUACUCCAGCUUACAUAUGCAUGCUCACACACACAAAUACACACACAUUGACACACUGACACACAUAUAUCUACACACACUCAUGGGAAUGCACCCACUCAUAGGUACACACAAGGGGAUACACACAAGUACACACACAUACAAGGAGACACAGACAUAAGUACACACACACACACAAAUGAAUUCAUGGACAUACACACCUCUGCAGACACGAACUCCAAAGACAUGCACAUACAUACAUACACACACACACACACACACACACACAAACCCCAUGAGCAAGCACACACACACACACACACACACAGAGACACACACAAAACACCC